GGGCAACAACACAUCAAGAGUCCAUGAUCUCUAGACUCUUCACCCCAUCUUCUUACACGUCGAAAUAAAAAGAGUUUUAUUUUAUUCUUAUGCGUGUAAGAGACCUGAGAGCGAGGCCUUCGCGUUGAGAGGGGUCUUCGGUAUGGUUUCAUGGCAUGAAAGAAGAGGAGAGUCCUCUUCUCUUAAGGUGUGCGGAAAAAUUAGGUUUCUAAGAUUUUGGUCCUCAGGGUUUGAGAAGAGAGAAAAAAGAAGAGAAAAAUUAUUUUUCUCUCUAUCUUUCUUCCACCUCUUCAUCUCUUUCAGAAAUCUAUCUUCAACCUCUAGAAAGGUUUCAGAGACUGGAAGAAAGAAUCCAAAUCAGCCAAGAAAAAAGUCUUCGCGCAAGCUAGCACUCUCGAGAAGACCAAUCAGAUCGGGAUUUCGAGUAGAUUUUUCGUAGAGACCAGACACGUGUGCGGCUAUGAACAACCAGCAAGGAUCUCUCUACUAUAUCUCUCAGUAAUGGUGAUCAUCGAUCCAUAUAAAGGUAUCGAAUUUUGAACUCAGAUUAGAAAUAAAUGUGAUCUAUUGCUCACAUGCAUGCAUGCUGAUUUUAUCUUCAGUAUUUUUCAAAUUUUAUAUGCAAUAUAUUAUGUCAUAGAUCCUAGAGUAGAUUGAUUUGAUGAUUAGAUCAUAUGCAUAUUAGAUUAAUUUAAUUAAUCUAAUUAUCUUCUACUAUAAUUUAUUCGAAAAAAUUUCAAAAUACAUGCAUAAAAUCGCCUACGUUUUCCAACAAUGG
rnacentral:lncRNA from 1 species